AUCAUGGGUCUUAAAAUUAUCAGUUAAUGGAUACUCGAUGAGAAGAUGUUUUAUUUCUUGAGACCAAGCAAUUAGGAACAUGGGAAGCAUUUAGGGGCAAGACCUCUGAGAAUUUGCUGGCAAAGUUGGUGAAGAGAUUCUUGAAUAAUUUCCAAACAAGAACAAAUAUUGAUGAACGAGUGGUUGGAGAGUAAUGGAGUCCAUGAGCGAAUGGG
rnacentral:misc_RNA from 1 species